rnacentral:rRNA from 1 species
AUACGGAGGGUGCGAGCGUUAAUCGGAAUUACUGGGCGUAAAGCGUACGUAGGCGGUUGGUUAAGUUAGAUGUGAAAGCCCCGGGCUUAACCUGGGAACUGCAUUUAAAACUGGCGAACUAGAGUUGAGUAGAUGGGAGUGGAAUUUCAGGUGUAGCGGUGAAAUGCGUAGAGAUCUGAAGGAACACCAGUGGCGAAGGCGACUCCCUGGACUCGAACUGACGCUGAGGUACGAAAGCGUGGGUAGCAAACGGGAUUAGAAACCCUAGUAGUCC